rnacentral:rRNA from 1 species
CGAUGAAGCCCAGCUUGCUGGGUGGAUUAGUGGCGAACGGGUGAGUAACACGUGAGUAACCUGCCCUUGACUCUGGGAUAAGCCUGGGAAACUGGGUCUAAUACUGGAUAUGACUUCUCACCGCAUGGUGGGGGGUGGAAAGAUUUAUUGGUCUUGGAUGGACUCGCGGCCUAUCAGCUUGUUGGUGAGGUAAUGGCUCACCAAGGCGACGACGGGUAGCCGGCCUGAGAGGGUGACCGGCCACACUGGGACUGAGACACGGCCCAGACUCCUACGGGAGGCAGCAGUGGGGAAUAUUGCACAAUGGGCGCAAGCCUGAUGCAGCGACGCCGCGUGAGGGAUGACGGCCUUCGGGUUGUAAACCUCUUUCAGUAGGGAAGAAGCGAAAGUGACGGUACCUGCAGAAGAAGCGCCGGCUAACUACGUGCCAGCAGCCGCGGUAAUACGUAGGGCGCGAGCGUUAUCCGGAAUUAUUGGGCGUAAAGAGCUCGUAGGCGGUUUGUCGCGUCUGCCGUGAAAGUCCGGGGCUUAACCCCGGAUCUGCGGUGGGUACGGGCAGACUAGAGUGCAGUAGGGGAGACUGGAAUUCCUGGUGUAGCGGUGAAAUGCGCAGAUAUCAGGAGGAACACCGAUGGCGAAGGCAGGUCUCUGGGCUGUAACUGACGCUG